GAUGAACGCUAGCGGCAGGCCUAAUACAUGCAAGUCGAACGGGAUUGCAGUGUAGCUUGCUAUACUGCAUGAGAGUGGCGUACGGGUGCGUAACGCGUGAGCAACCUGCCCAUAUCUGGGGGAUAGCCCGGCGAAAGUCGGAUUAACACCGCAUAACAAUGGAUUACCGCAUGGUUUUCCAUUUAAAUAUUUAUAGGAUAUGGAUGGGCUCGCGUGACAUUAGCUAGUUAGUAAGGUAACGGCUUACCAAGGCGACGAUGUCUAGGGGCUCUGAGAGGAGAAUCCCCCACACUGGUACUGAGACACGGACCAG
rnacentral:rRNA from 1 species